GGGCCUAUGGUCUAAUGGCAUGACGUCUCCUUCACAUGGAGAAGAUUGAGGGUUCAAAUCCCUCUAGGCCCA
rnacentral:tRNA from 1 species